GACGAACGCUGGCGGCGUGCUUAACACAUGCAAGUCGAACGAUGAAGCCCAGCUUGCUGGGUGGAUUAGUGGCGAACGGGUGAGUAACACGUGGGCAACCUGCCCCAAACUCUGGGAUAACUCCUCGAAAGAGGUGCUAAUACCGGAUACGAACUAGACAGACAUCUGUACUAGUUGGAAAGUUUUUCGGUUUGGGAUGGGCCCGCGGCCUUUCAGCUUGUUGGUGAGGUAACGGCUCACCAAGGUUACGACGGGUAACCGGCCUGAGAGGGCGACCGGUCACACUGGGACUGAGACGCGGCCCAGACUCCUACGGGAGGCAGCAGUGGGGAAUAUUGCGCAAUGGGCGAAAGCCUGACGCAGCGACGCCGCGUGAGGGAUGUAGGUCUUCGGAUCGUAAACCUCUUUCAGUAGGGACGAAGCGAAAGUGACGGUACCUAAAGAAGAAGCACCGGCUAACUACGUGCCAGCCGCCGCCGUAA
rnacentral:rRNA from 1 species